rnacentral:lncRNA from 1 species
AUAUUUUUCCCUAGUUGUACCACAGUGCAGAGUUACUAAUAUGCAUAUUGUUUAUCUCUUCUUUAGAAUUUCUGAUGGAACUGGAGAUUUUGACUAGCUGAUUUGGGAUUCCUAGGGAUUUUAUGGACUUCCUGCGUGAACCAAAACCUGUCCAUUGGGGAUGCAUCUCUGUAUCACAGCUGGUGUUUCUGAACCUUCGUCUGGAGUAGAAAUUCAUCCCUGAUUUUUUUGGCUGGAUUGACUGUUUAGUCUAGGAACUCUCAAGUACACUUUGUAGGUGCUGGAAUUCCUCAUUCUCUUCAGUCAGCAGCUGAUGUGGUAUGGUGUACAUCAGGGUAUAUAUUCUGGAGUGAGCAAAGAUUUAUGCUCUUCCUAACUCCCAUUGAUGCUAAUGAGUAUUACAGACAUGUGUCCCGUGGAGCAAGAUGAGAACAUACCCCAGACUGUGUGUGGAGUUUGCCAUUAGGGCAUCCACACUGCUAAAAACAAUACAGAGAUCCCAAGGCACCUGUAUUAAUUUUUGGUUAUGAGUGACCUCACAGAAGAAUUGAUUUCCAUUUUUGAAGAUGUUUCCAAAGACUGACAACUCUUAUGGCAGCUUUGGAUACAGAAGAAAAAGCAGAUGUGGCAAAGAAUAAGUCAUAAUAAGAAACUGUCAUCCUUUAGAGCAGGGGUUCUCAAAUUGGGGGUCGGGACCCCUCAGGGGGUCGUGAGGUGAUUACAUGGGGGGGUCACGAGCUGUCAGCCUCCACCCCAAACCCCGCUUUGCCUCCAGCGUUUAUAAUGAUGUUAAAUAUAUUUAAAAGUGUUUUUAAUUUAUAAGGGGGGGGGUCACACUUUGAGGCUUGCUAUGUGAAAGGGGUCACCAGUAAAAAAGUUUAAGAGCCAUUGCUUUAGAGGAUCUAAAAAGUACACUAAAAUGUUGCACCCUGG